rnacentral:lncRNA from 1 species
UAAGGAUUUAAAAAUAUUAAUCGAAUGCCAGAUCAAUGGCCAGAUGCCAGAAGAAAACUUUGCUUGUCAAAAGUUAUAGAAUUGAAAGAAUUGGGGGGAAACUAGGAAUUGAUGGGUAGAAGUAACAAAGGAGAAGAUUUAGGCCGGAUGCCAAGAAUGAGGGCUACUUUGAGAAGAAAUGGGCUUUCUUUGGAGGUCUUCAAGCAAAUUCUGUGUGCAAAGCCGCCAUCUUAUAAGUUUCAUGUUGGGCAGGCAGAGGCAUUCAGAAGAGAACACAGGGAAGCUGCUUUUGGGGAUUGUUGAUUCGGUGGAGUCUGAAAGGCUCCCAAAUCCUAGGAACUUGGAGCGGACCCAGAACUCUAAAAGAAGCCCCAGGAGGCGAGGCGAGGCAAGAUUUACACAGAAUGAUAUUAAUGAAAAAAGGCACACCCUUGCUUCAGCUUCAAAAAACCAAGAGGAGAUGAAUAACAAAAUGAAAGAACACAUUUUGCCCAAACUUCAACCCCGACUUUCAAUGACAAUGCCUAUAAAGAAUGAGCAGUUGCUGUACCUUCUGGAGGGCAACAUUUACAGCAUAUCACAUGAACUCAUUGCUGGACCACAGGACAGGUAAACUUUCUUUGUGGCUUUGGGAACUAUCUCUAAGGUGGAAAAAAAGAAGCAUCUUGUUGACAUUUUAAAAAUUUCUCUAGCACUGAGAGCACCUAGAUUCCUAACUUUAAAAAUCACUGGAAAAAGAGAAAAGAAGAAAAAUAAUUGGGCUGAUGAUUGGGGAAUUGCCAGACUGUGAUACACAAAUGUAAUGAUUAUUGCUAAGGAAUAGAUAUUUCUUGAAUGAGCACUUCUAAGAAAUAGAGGAACAC